CUGGCGGCAUGCCUAUACAUGCAGUCGAACGCUUUGAUUUCACCGGGUGCUUGCACCCACCGAAGUCAAAGAGUGGCGGACGGGUGAGUAACACGUGGGUAACCUGCCCAUAAGAGGGGGAUAACAUUCGGAAACGGAUGCUAAUACCGCAUACUUCUAAUCGCCUCCUGGCGAAUGGAAAAAAGGUGGCUUCGGCUACCGCUUAUGGAUGGACCCGCGGCGUAUUAGCUAGUUGGUGAGGUAAUGGCUCACCAAGGCGAUGAUACGUAGCCGACCCGAGAGGGUGAUCGGCCACACUGGGACUGAGACACGGCCCAGACUCCUACGGGAGGCAGCAGUAGGGAAUCUUCCGCAAUGGACGAAAGUCUGACGGAGCAAUGCCGCGUGAGUGAAGAAGGUUUUCGGAUCGUAAAACUCUGUUGUUAGAGAAGAACAAGGAUGAGAGUAACUGCUCAUCCCCUGACGGUAUCUAACCAGAAAGCCACGGCUAACUACGUGCCAGCAGCCGCGGUAAU
rnacentral:rRNA from 1 species